AUGCCUGCUGUGAUGGUUGGGGGUUCGUUUUAUUGGUUGCUUUAUGGGAAUUCACAAGGAAUCCUUGAAUUUGAUUUGGAUAAGCGGAGACUAGCUUUGAUACCCAUGCCAAUGGGAAACACUGGAGACAUGAGAGAUGGCAAUAUUUGGGUUAUGCCGGCAGAGGGUGGUGGCCUUGGUUUCGUCUUUCUGAGAGGCUUCCGUGCGCAAUUAUGGAAGAGGAGGACCAGUUGCAAGGGUGUUGCUUCAUGGUUACUCGGAAGAACUGUUGAAUUGGAUAAGCUACUUUCCCUGAAUUCAGAGAAGCAGAUAGAGCGCCCAAGGAUACUCGGGUUUGCUGAGGUCAAUAAUGUGGUUUUACUGGGGACACUUAGAGGCAUCUUCAUGGUCCAGUUUGAACUAUUGCAUUUCAAGAAAGUUAUUAAAUCCAACCCCUGGUAUAGCCAUUAUCCAUUUGAAGGUGUCUAUACUGCAGAUGGGGGCAUUGGUGGUGGACCAUAUGGAGCUAGAGUAUUGCACAAUAUGUAA
rnacentral:rRNA from 1 species